UACGUAGGGGGCAAGCGUUGUCCGGAUUUAUUGGGCGUAAAGAGCGUGUAGGCGGCUAUACAGGUCCGCUGUGAAAACUCGAGGCUCAACCUCGAGACGUCGGUGGAAACCGUAUGGCUAGAGUCCGGAAGAGGAGAGUGGAAUUCCUGGUGUAGCGGUGAAAUGCGCAGAUAUCAGGAGGAACACCAGUGGCGAAGGCGGCUCACUGGACCGGUACUGACGCUGAUGCGCGAAAGCGUGGGGAGCAAACGGG
rnacentral:rRNA from 1 species